rnacentral:rRNA from 1 species
CAAUAGCGUAUAUUUAAGUUGUUGCAGUUAAAAAGCUCGUAGUCGGAUUUUGGCUGAGAACGAUCGGUCCGCCGUUAGGUGUGCACUGAUUGGUCUCAGCUUCCUGGUGAGGAGGUGUGCUUCACGGCCACUUAGUCACCGUGGUUACUUUGAAAAAAUUAGAGUGUUCAAAGCGGGCUUACGCUUGAAUAUAUUAGCAUGGAAUAACACCAUAGGACUCCUGUCCUAUUUCGUUGGUCUCGGGACGGGAGUAAUGAUUAAGAGGAACAGUUGGGGGCAUUCGUAUUCCAUUGUCAGAGGUGAAAUUCUUGGAUUUAUGAAAGACGAACUUCUGCGAAAGCAUUUGCCAAGGAUGUUUUCAUUGA